GACAAACGCUGGUGGCGCACAUAAGACAUGCAAGUCGAACGAACGAAGCCGUUUGUUUACAAAUGGCCAAGUUAGUGGCGGACGGGUGAGUAACGCGUAGGUAACCUGCCUUUGAGAGGGGGGAUAACACAGAGAAAUCUGUGCUAAUACCGCAUAAUGUUAUUUUAUCGCAUGAUAGAAUAACCCAAAGGAGCAAUCCACUCAAAGAUGGACCUGCGUCUGAUUAGCUAGUUGGUGUGGUAACGGCAUACCAAGGCGACGAUCAGUAGCCGAACUGAGAGGUUGAUCGGCCACAUUGGGACUGAGACACGGCCCAGACUCCUACGGGAGGCAGCAGUCGGGAAUAUUGCACAAUGGGGAAACCCUGAUGCAGUGACGCCAUGUAUAGGAAGAAGGUUUUCGGAUUGUAAACUAUUUUAGACAGGGAAGAAAUUGACAGUACCUGUAGAUAAGCUCCGGCUAACUACGUG
rnacentral:rRNA from 1 species